rnacentral:rRNA from 1 species
UACGGGGGGUGCGAGCGUUGUCCGGAAUCACUGGGCGUAAAGGGCGCGUAGGUGGUCUGAUAAGGGUGUGGUGAAAGUCCGGGGCUCAACCCCGGAUCUGCCGUGCCGACUGUCAGACUCGAGGACUGUAGAGGCAGGCGGAAUUCCGGGGUGUAGCGGUGGAAUGCGUAGAGAUCCGGAGGAAGACCGGUGGCGAAGGCGGCCUGCUGGGCAGUUUCUGACACUGAGGCGCGACAGCGUGGGGAGCAAACAGG